rnacentral:lncRNA from 1 species
CAACUGAGAAUAAUUUGGCUUGUUCCUCUCCUUGCAUGGCAAUUUGUCAUACAAUAUGCUCCCAUCACACAUGCCAAAGGUGCCCUCAGGUGAAAGCAUUCCUGCUUCCUGCAGCUCUGGACAAGGAGUGGUAUUUUCAGCUGCUUCAGUAUUGAUAAGAUACACCAUGCGCUGUGCGGUGGUGGAGGGCCGAGCCCCUCAGCAGGCUCUCAGGCCCUGUGUUCCAGAGCAGAACUCCACAGAGGGGCACAGCCCACCAACUCAGGUCUCCAUCAGCCAUCCUCCUUUCUCCUGCUAGUUACACGACCUCUCCAAAAGCAUUUCCUCUCGUCUCUGCCUCAGUUCUCCAGAGAUGAAACCGUUGUUUGCCUCACUUCUUGUCGGAAGAACGCAAUGAAAGUUCAUGGGAAAGAAACAGAGAACACUUUGCACGUGAGUAAUUCAGUUAUCUAUUAAGAACUUUCGCCAAGAUGGCAAACUGCUGCUGCUUUCCCUCAUACCCACACUUCAUAUACAUUUCCUUUUCCAGAGAUUGUUUAAAAAUAGAUAAGUGUGAUGUGUGUGGGAGAGGGACGGUGCAGAGCUGCCCAGAGCAAGCGUGGAAAUCCAAAAGACCCAGAGUCCUGCCUGGCCCUC